CAAAACCUUCAGGGUUAGGUGAAAUUCCUUACCGGCGGUAUGGCUUCGGCUAAGCCCGCGAGCCCGUAGGGGCAGAUCUGGUGAGAUGCCAGAGCCGACAGUAAAAGUCUGGAUGGAAGAAGGACGUG
rnacentral:ncRNA from 2 species